GACUAUAACACUAUUAAACUUGAAGUGAACCACAAGAAAAAACUGGGAAAGGCCACAAAUACAUGGAGGUUAAACAACAUGCUACUAAAGAAUGAAUGGGGUCCAUUAACAAAUCAUAGAG